GACGAACGCUGGCGGCGUGCUUAACACAUGCAAGUCGAACGGAAAGGCCCUGCUUUUGUGGGGUGCUCGAGUGGCGAACGGGUGAGUAACACGUGAGUAACCUGCCCUUGACUUUGGGAUAACUUCAGGAAACUGGGGCUAAUACCGGAUAGGAGCUCCUGCAGCGUGUUGGGGGUUGGAAAGUUUCGGCGGUUGGGUAUGGACUCGCGGCUUAUCGGCUUGUUGGUGGGGUAGUCACUUACCAAGGGUUUGACGGGUAGCCUGCCUGAGAGGGGGACCGGCGACCUUGGGACUGAGGUACGGCGCAGACUCCUACGGGAGGCAGCAGUGGGGAAUAUUGCACAAUGGGCGGAAGCCUGAGGCAGCGACGCCGCGUGCGGGAUGACGGCCUUCGGGUUGUAAACAGCUUUCGACUGUGACGAAGCGUGAGUGACGGUAAUGGGUAAAGAAGCACCGGCUAACUACGUG
rnacentral:rRNA from 1 species